AAGCACCAAAAGCAAAGGAGAAGUCGUCUACCCUCCUCUCCUGUUCCUGAAGGAUGGGGCCUACAUCAGAGGCUUUCCAGAUUCAGCACUAAAUUUUCUUGAAUGAGACGUUAGAACUCAAUGACGAGAGUUUCUGAAUACAAGGCACCCGAUUUCUAUGUAAUAAUGAGAAGCCUAGAAGGUGUAAUGAUGUCUCCUGGGUGGUUUGUUGAUGUGUUGUUGGCUUCACUGUUCUGUGACAAUGACAAGGAUAAGCACUGAUUGCAAUGUCACCUCCUUGUUAGGUGUCUUCAGUGAGUAUAUUCACCUUAGGACACAAGAAAGUGUAUGGAACUUCAAAGCAAUGUCUUUCAAAAUCUAGUUCUAUUCAACUUUAUUCUAUCAAGUUCAUCCUGGAUUCACUUACAGUUCUCUAAGAGUAAUCAUAAAGCCACCCUAACAACAACAAUAAUAAAACCCCAUGGUAUUUUCU